rnacentral:rRNA from 1 species
UACGUAGGGGGCUAGCGUUGUCCGGAUUUAUUGGGCGUAAAGAGCGUGUAGGCGGCCAGGUAGGUCUGCUGUGAAAACUCGAGGCUUAACCUCGAGAUGUCGGCGGAAACCAUCUGGCUAGAGUCCGGAAGAGGAGAGUGGAAUUCCCGGUGUAGUGGUGAAAUGCGUAGAUAUCGGGAGGAACACCAGUGGCGAAGGCGACUACCUGGCCUGUUUCUUGACGCUGAGGCGCGAAAGCUAGGGGAGCAAACGGG